ACUUCAGUUUGGCAAAGGCAAAACCUCAGGAGGCAUCCAUCAAUUUCAACAAACCUAUUUUAAAUGAAAGCCCUUCUGUUUCAACGCCUCCAAACAGCUUGGGCAGCCACAGCUUUUGAAUAACUAUAUGCAGGAUGUUUCGACACCUACAGCACACAUGGGCCCUGCCUGCGCCAUGAAGAGCUAGUACACAUGCUUUGAAUAGCUAAGCCAUCUAACAAAAACAGUAACCACCAUCACCAACAUCCUGGGAUAUAACCUAGUCUGAAAAAGAAAUGAGAGCCGGAAAAAUAUAAGAAAGUUAAAGGUAAGAGAAGGCUGAAAAGCAUCUGGAGCUGCAACAGUGCCUCUCUAAAGAAUCGCUAUGCUUGCUUCUAUCUAUCCUCAUCUGCAAACAAGUCUUAGUGUUAACGGUACUGAUAUUGUGGAUAUGAUAGAAGAGUUCUAGCUGCAGGUGGCUUGUGGACCAAGCUGGGUCACGAUACACAGAUUUACAUUUGGCACGCCCAUCUCCUGCAACAAACAGGAGAGCACCCCCAAGCAACAUCAUCUUCCCCUUUGAUACAGAAGUAGAAUGAGUUCAAUAG